rnacentral:lncRNA from 1 species
GAAUUAUUAGUACUCUUUCAUCCACAUUUGUUUUAUCAUUCUCAUCCCCUCUAUCAGUAGAUACAUACCAUUAUCUCCUGGAACUUUUGAAAAUAAGUUGCUGACAAUGUGUCCCUCAAAAACAAAGGCAUUCCUUUAUUUACUGUGAUGGUUGGUCUUCAUUGACAACUUUUUUUUUUUAAAGAUUUAUUUAUUUUAUGUGAUUACACUGUCGCUGUCUUCAGACACACCAGAAGAGGGCAUCGGAUCUUCAUGACAGAUGGUUGUGAGCCACCAUGUGGUUGCUGGGAAUUGAACUCAGGACCUCUGGAAGAGCAGUCAGUGCUCUUAACCACUGAGCCAUCUCUCCAGCCCCCUUCAUUGACAACUUUGAUUUGGAAUCACCUAGUAGACACACCUCUGGGUAUGUCUUUGAGGAAGUCUCUAAAGAGGUUUAACUGAGAAGAGACCCACCCUGAUUGUGGUACCAUUUCAUAAUCUGGGGUCUCAGACUAAAUUUUAAAAAACAGAAAAAAAA